rnacentral:misc_RNA from 1 species
GUGGGGAUUGCAAUAACCUUUUCUUACAUUCAAGUGUGAAUAAUCGUGUCAUGCAUGUGGUGAGCAGGUAGCACCAUAUCAAUUUUUGUAAAAUUGUGGAAUUUUAUUCUUUCUUAAGUGUUGAUACAGGGAAAAGUGAGACAAAGGUGUUCCAAAACUUGGGUUAUUUUAUUAUACAGCUCACAGGUAAGGCAGUGUUCAGUUGGGUAGAGCCUUAAUGAAGAUUGUUGUUUUGAAUGAUAAGUUGUUGUAUGCAACCAUGUUUGGUCAAACAGCACCACCAUGAUCUUUUGCCAUAUUGUCUAUGAAAAUAUUACUUUGAUAGCAACUAUUAUGUCAGUAAACUUGUUUAAAUUUCACUAAUUGGUAAAUGUAGCAAAAAGUUGAUCUGCAUAAAUGUUUAAGAGAGUUCUGAAUUUUAAUAGCAAGACAUAACUUUUUUUUUUAUAUUGCUUUGGUGUUCAGUGGAAUCUAAAUCUACAGAUGAGAAGAGCAAAGACCAACCAGUUGUUCCUGUGAU